rnacentral:rRNA from 1 species
UCUCUAUGCGGUGCCAGCAGCCGCGGUAAUACGGAGGGUGCAAGCGUUAUCCGGAUUUAUUGGGUUUAAAGGGUCCGUAGGCGGAUCUGUAAGUCAGUGGUGAAAUCUCAUAGCUUAACUAUGAAACUGCCAUUGAUACUGCAGGUCUUGAGUAAAGUAGAAGUGGCUGGAAUAAGUAGUGUAGCGGUGAAAUGCAAUAGAAUAUUAACUUAGAACACCAAUUGCGAAGGCAGGUCACUAUUGUUUUAACUGACGACUGAU